rnacentral:rRNA from 1 species
GGUUUUUUGUAUUGAUGGAAAAUCGGGCCUGCUCUAUGAUGAUUUAAAUGGCCGCAGUAUAUUGACUGUGCUAAGGUAGCAUAGUAAUUAGUCUUUUGAUUAGAGACUGGAAUGAAAGGUUUGUCAAGGGGGUAACUGUCUUAGAAUUAGAGAAUUUAAUUUGAUUUGGGUGUGAGAAGGCACCUAUAAUGCUAAGGGACGAGAAGACCCUGUUGAGUUUUAUAUAUGAUUGGGUGGGUAAAGUUGGAUUAUUGACUUUUCAUUAGGUUUGUGUAUUUUACUGGGGCGGUAAAGAGAGAAGGAAUCUCUAUUUAUUUUAUUUGGUUGUGAUACUUCAGGGAAUGGGUUGAUCCAGUUUGUUGAAAGCUGAUAAUAGGAUUAAAUUACCAUAGGGAUAACAGCGUAAAGUUAUUGGAGAGUUCAUAUUGAUAAUAAUCUUUGCGACCUCGAUGUUGAAUUAGAAUAACUAUUGGGUGAAGAAGCUUAAUAAGUAAGUCUGUUCGACUUUUGAUGUUCUACA